AGGUAACCCCAUGGAUAGACGUGGGUGUUAUGCCUGGAGUAAUGAUGGGCAGCAGAGUAGGUAAACCCCAUGGAUAGACGUGGGUGUUAUGCCUGGAGUAAUGAUGGGCAGCAGAGUAGGUAACCCCAUGGAUAGACGUGGGUGUUAUGCCUGGAGUAAUGAUGGGCAGCAGAGUAGGUAAACCCACAGACGUGGGUGUUAUGCCUGGAGUAAUGAUGGGCAGCAGAGUAGGUAAACCCACAGACGUGGGUGUUAUGCCUGGAGUAAUGAUGGGCAGCAGAGUAGGUAAACCCCAUGGAUAGACGUGGGUGUUAUGCCUGGAGUAAUGAUGGGCAGCAGAGUAGGUAAACCCACAGACGUAGGUGUUAUGCCUGGAGUAAUGAUGGGCAGCAGAGUAGGUAAACCCACAGACGUGGUCUUUAUGCCUGGAGUAAUGAUGGGCAGCAGAGUAGGUAACCCCAUGGAUAGACGUGGGUGUUAUGCCUGGAGUAAUGAUGGGCAGCAGAGUAGGUAAACCCACAGACGUGGGUGUUAUGCCUGGAGUAAUGAUGGGCAGCAGAGUAGGUAAACCCCAUGGAUAGACGUGGGUGUUAUGCCUGGAGUAAUGAUGGGCAGCAGAGUAGGUAAACCCACAGACGUGGGUGUUAUGCCUGGAGUAAUGAUGGGCAGCAGAGUAGGUAAACCCACAGACGUAGGUGUUAUGCCUGGAGUAAUGAUGGGCAGCAGAGUAGGUAAACCCACAGACGUGGGUGUUAUGCCUGGAGUAAUGAUGGGCAGCAGAGUAGGUAAACCCACAGACGUAGGUGUUAUGCCUGGAGUAAUGAUGGGCAGCAGAGUAGGUAAACCCAUGGAUAGACGUGGGUGUUAUGCCUGGAGUAAUGAUGGGCAGCAGAGUAGGUAAACCCACAGACGUAGGUGUUAUGCCUGGAGUAAUGAUGGGCAGCAGAGUAGGUAAACCCACAGACGUGGGUGUUAUGCCUGGAGUAAUGAUGGGCAGCAGAGUAGGUAACCCCACAGACGUAGGUGUUAUGCCUGGAGUAAUGAUGGGCAGCAGAGUAGGUAAACCCCAUGGAUAGACGUGGGUGUUAUGCCUGGAGUAAUGAUGGGCAGCAGAGUAGGUAAACCCACAGACGUAGGUGUUAUGCCUGGAGUAAUGAUGGGCAGCAGAGUAGGUAACCCCACAGACGUGGGUGUUAUGCCUGGAGUAAUGAUGGGCAGCAGAGUAGGUAAACCCCAUGGAUAGAUGUGGGUGUUAUGCCUGGAGUAAUGAUGGGCAGCAGAGUAGGUAACCCCACAGACGUGGGUGUUAUGCCUGGAGUAAUGAUGGGCAGCAGAGUAGGUAAACCCACAGACGUGGGUGUUAUGCCUGGAGUAAUGAUGGGCAGCAGAGUAGGUAACCCCAUGGAUAGACGUGGGUGUUAUGCCUGGAGUAAUGAUGGGCAGCAGAGUAGGUAAACCCACAGACGUGGGUGUUAUGCCUGGAGUAAUGAUGGGCAGCAGAGUAGGUAAACCCACAGACGUAGGUGUUAUGCCUGGAGUAAUGAUGGGCAGCAGAGUAGGUAACCCCACAGACGUAGGUGUUAUGCCUGGAGUAAUGAUGGGCAGCAGAGUAGGUAAACCCCAUGGAUAGACGUGGGUGUUAUGCCUGGAGUAAUGAUGGGCAGCAGAGUAGGUAAACCCACAGACGUGGGUGUUAUGCCUGGAGUAAUGAUGGGCAGCAGAGUAGGUAAACCCACAGACGUGGGUGUUA